rnacentral:rRNA from 1 species
AGUGAACGCUGGCGGUAGGCCUAACACAUGCAAGUCGAACGGCAGCACAGUAAGAGCUUGCUCUUACGGGUGGCGAGUGGCGGACGGGUGAGGAAUACAUCGGAAUCUACUUUUUCGUGGGGGAUAACGUAGGGAAACUUACGCUAAUACCGCAUACGACCUACGGGUGAAAGCAGGGGAUCUUCGGACCUUGCGCGAUUGAAUGAGCCGAUGUCGGAUUAGCUAGUUGGCGGGGUAAAGGCCCACCAAGGCGACGAUCCGUAGCUGGUCUGAGAGGAUGAUCAGCCACACUGGAAGUGAGACACGGUCCAGACUCCUACGGGAGGCAGCAGUGGGGAAUAUUGGACAAUGGGCGCAAGCCUGAUCCAGCCAUACCGCGUGGGUGAAGAAGGCCUUCGGGUUGUAAAGCCCUUUUGUGGGGAAAGAAAAGCAGCAGGUUAAUACCCCGCUGUUCUGACGGUACCCAAAGAAUAAGCACCGGCUAACUUCGUG